UGAAGUUGACGGGGCCCGCACAAGCGGUGGAGCAUGUGGUUUAAUUCGAAGCAACGCGAAGAACCUUACCAGGUCUUGACAUCCCCUGACCAACCCGAGAGAUCGGCGUUCCCCUUCGGGGGACAGGGUGACAGGUGGUGCAUGGUUGUCGUCAGCUCGUGUCGUGAGAUGUUGGGUUAAGUCCCGCAACGAGCGCAACCCUCGACCUUAGUUGCCAGCAUUCAGUUGGGCACUCUAAGGUGACUGCCGGCUAAAAGUCGGAGGAAGGUGGGGAUGACGUCAAAUCAUCAUGCCCCUUAUGACCUGGGCUACACACGUGCUACAAUGGGCGGUACAAAGGGUCGCGAACCCGCGAGGGGGAGCCAAUCCCAAAAAGCCGCUCUCAGUUCGGAUUGUAGUCUGCAACUCGACUACAUGAAGUCGGAAUCGCUAGUAAUCGCAGGUCAGCAUACUGCGGUGAAUACGUUCCCGGGCCUU
rnacentral:rRNA from 1 species